GAUUAACGCUAGCGGCAGGCCUAAUACAUGCAAGUCGAGGGAGAUUGUGGUAGCAAUACUACAUGAGACCGGCGUACAGGUGCGUAACACGUAUGCAACCUACCUUUAACUGGGGCAUAGCCCCGAGAAAUCGGGAUUAAUACCCCAUAAGAUCAUAGAAGGGCAUCCUCCAGUGAUUAAAGCUCCGGCGGUUUUAGAUGGGCAUGCGCGACAUUAGCUAGUUGGUGAGGUAACGGCUCACCAAGGCUACGAUGUCUAGGGGUUCUGAGAGGAUUUUCCCCCACACUGGUACUGAGACACGGACCAGACUCCUACGGGAGGCAGCAGUAAGGAAUAUUGGGCAAUGGGCGCAAGCCUGACCCAGCCAUGCCGCGUGCAGGAUUGACGGCCCUAUGGGUUGUAAACUGCUUCUGUACGGGAAAAAACCCCCGGUCGUGAACCGGGGCUGAUGUUACCGUAAGAAUAAGCAUCGGCUAACUCCGUGCCAGCCGCCGCAGUAAAAC
rnacentral:rRNA from 1 species